GACCACAUGGCCCAAUGGUCAGGGCUUUCAGCUCCGGGGCUGAAGCUGGAUACUAUUGAUCAUUUUGGACUUAAUUUGUGUUGCAAAACGUUUAUUUUUCGUGGUAUUUCGGGGUCCGGUUUUUUCCCCUCUCAACAACCUGUGACGGAGUGUGUGCCCACGGAGGAGAUAGAGAGUCCCACACAGCAACCGGGAGGACAGAAAAAUGGACUACAUUCCAAAUUUCACCUGGUCCGACUCUGGAGAAAUCAUUCUGAAGCCAACACCGGAUGCGCAGGCCUAUGCCCUUCAGGUGCAAGCCCGGAGCAUGCUGAUUGGUGGAGUGAAAGGGCCCGCCAGAGUGAUUCAGGAUGCAAAGCUGCGUGUCCACCAUGGCCAAGGUGAUGUGGAGGAUUCCAACCUGCUCCUCAGCCAACAUGACCUGCAGUUUGGCAAAUAUCGUGUCCAGACCUUCUACUGGCUCCUUUGCAAUGACAUGGGUUACGCUGUCAUGAUUGCGGCUGCUCAUCUGAAGGAGCGUCAGGCUGGCCGUGAUAACAUGAGCCACACAAUGCUGAACAAGGACAGCCUAUGUUGCUACGCCAAGCUGUUCCCAGAUGUCAUGCGGGCUGUUGAGCAGAGGAUGCUGUCUGAUGGCUCCCUGAUUCCAGCUUCCUCCUCAGCACUGGAUCACAAGGUGGUUGACUUUGGUAAACACGCCAAACUCACUUACAAAGAUUUUUUCAAAUCUUCUGUUUCUGAGGUGCAGAGCUACAGGAACUGGCUCCGGAGGACCCCUGCUCGCUCAGCUGGUACAAUGAUGGACCAGCUGAGAAAGUACGUGCUGUGGAGGGAUGAGCAGACGAUGAAGGCCUCGACGUCUGCCUCCACCUCCGCCUCCUCCGCCUCUUCCGCCGCCUCUGCCUCCUUUGCCUCCGCAUCUGUCUCUGCCAGCCCUUCAUCUGUGGUGCCUGUGAAUGCUCCAUCAUCACCCUCACCUCCUCCUCCUCCUGUGAGGAGAACAAAGAGGAUCGCUGUCAUAGCGUCGUCGUCUGAUGAUGAUGAUGAUGAUGAUGCGGCGAUGGUGUCUGCUGUGGAGGAAGUGGAAAAGUCCGACCUCCCUCCUUUGACCACUCCUACACCUACUCCGCCGCCCACCACGCCUACUCCCGGCCCCACAGCACCAGAGGCUCCACCUCCACCUGCAGUGUUAAGCCGCACUGCUGGAGUGUCUUCCGCGGACGUUUGUCUCCCUGAUGCCUGGAGGGAGACGCUGCCCCCAGGACAGCAUGCCUGGCUCAGCAGGGCUCUCUUCACCAGAGACUCAGCCGGAAAGGCAGCCCUGAAAUCAGAGCUGCAGCUCUGGUACCACCCACCGGGACCACGGCACAUCUACUUCCAGCCUCCAACCUCUCCUGAAGCCUUCUUCCAGCGUCCCUUCUUCCUCUGGAUGCCGUACCGGGUGUGGCACUGCCCCAUCGUAUGCCCAGUCUGCAAGCACAAGAUGACCUCGUGUGGCAUAUAUAAGACAAUGUGGCGAGUGCUGGACCGCGACGGCUGGUACUACAUGGGCACAGAGUACCUGGAGUGCCGGAGCUGUGGGAAGAAGUUGGCCCUCUGGUGCCUCAGCAUCCUUGAUGCUGUCUGA
ensembl:lncRNA uncharacterized LOC114470037